rnacentral:lncRNA from 1 species
AAUGCUCAAGAAGUUUCAAUCCAAUCUAACUUACAGAUUGCAAGAAAACGCCAUAAAUCCAUUGAGCGCCACCUAGAAAGUUGAUCACAAACCUUAACUUGCAAUUUCUCCUUUUCCAACCGUUAAUUCUCAAUCAAACCUUGUGUGCAGCUUUGCCUUUAAGUCCUCGACUUACCACGUCAGAAUUCACCUUAUUCCAGCUGAUCGAUCUCUAGAUUUUACAGAAAUCCUAAACAACCCCAAUAUACUGACUUUUGAUACUUCUUUACACUUAUGAUCAAAUAUCCUCUAUCCGUAUCG